AGUAGGGCUACAGUUCUGCAGGAAAAGAGAGCCAGCAAAUAAUGCUACCAACUGGGAGCAUUCUCAUUUGCAAAUGUUUAUGCAAGACUUGGCAAGAUCUAAUUUCGGACCAUGAAUUUGCUAAGCUGCACUUUGCACAAGCAGAGUCCUACCCUUUGGUCCGGCCCUUUAAUCCAACCCGUGUGUCAAGAACCCUUUAUCUGGUCGAGCCUGAAGAUAGCUCUGAUUUUGAUUUCGAGCACAGCAACUGCACGUGUUAUGAUGCCUCUGACUUUCUUUUUAAUGAGUGCAAUGGGCAUCAGUUCCACAUGAAUCUUGCCAAACCAUUGCGCAAUGCUGAGGAAGUACUCAAUACCCACAAUGAUGCCAAUAGGAAAUCUGGAACUAAAAAGAAGCUUUGAUUUAAGGUAUGUCCAGCUGGUCACAAGUAUGAGGUGGUGAAUUCGUGUAACGGAUUGCUUUGCUUGUCUAAACCAUUCAUCAAUGACCCUGUUGUUGUGUGCAACCCAAUAACCGUCCGAAGACUAACCAGUACAAGGUGAUAAGAAUCUCUGAGCAAGGACACUGGAUCCCUUUAAGGCAGCCGAGGUAUACACACUUGGGACAGGCUCAUGGGAAUGUUUAGGUUUUGCUCCCUUCUUAAAAAAUAAAGUAGAAUUCACCACCUAUCUGAAAGGAGCGCUUUAUUGGUUUUGCCAUUGGCUUUCAUCGCCUUAUAUAGAUUCUUUUUACAUGGACACUGGGGAGUUUUCAGUCAGCUCAGCCACCUCCUUUUGAACUGCAAAGAGAGCAUCGGGUUGGCAUGGGAGUUUUAGGAGUGCGGAAUACAAGCUGCUGGGAGGGACUAGAGCUCUGUCUUUGGAGGACGAACAAAUUCUCAGUUGCUUUCCAAAGGAAGUGAAGAAGGAAAUAACCUCAGAGGUGGUGUCGAUGUCGUAUAUAAAGCAACGUGAACUCGAAGAGGCCUGUAGAGUCAAAAAACCAUUUUGUGAAUGGCUUGUGACAAGAUUUCAAGCUGCUGGGAGAGACAGGAGCUCUUUUCUUUUUUGGUGGCAGGAAAUAGGGUCUGGUAUCAACAUCAAAUGGGUCCUUAAUGCAGUGUCAAUUGUCAAUCUACAGGUACAGGGAUGAGAUUUUUCGCCGUGUAGAAAAGAGAAGGUUGCACAUUCUUUGACCGGUAUCAUCCAAAGAUAUAUGAACCCUCCAAGAGUUUGGUACUUGGACUUUUGAAAAGAUUGAGGAAGGAGGAAGAUGAAAACAGAAGACUAAGCAUGGAGGUUAGAGCUUCUUCGAAAGGAAAGUGGAGUUCCCGAGCUUGCCUAGUGAUUCAUUGGAUGAUUGUUAUUGUGUUGUUGGGGAUGUUGCUGGUGGAAGGAGGGGCAAGGGCUGGAUUGAGCAAGAAUGUCAAAUUAGCACUUUGAGUUUUAGGGGUUAUGGUGGUGAUUUGAGUUAAUUUUGUCUCCUAUCAUUCCAAAUUCAUUUUAUUUAUUAGGAAACUUACAUUAACCCGAAUUAUAUUUAUUAAUGGUUUGAGACGUUU